AACGAACGCUGGCGGCAUGCCUAACACAUGCAAGUCGAACGAGACCUUCGGGUCUAGUGGCGCACGGUUGCGUAACGCGUGGGAACCUGCCCUUAUGUUCGGAAUAACUCCCCGAAAGGGGUGCUAAUACCGGAUAAUGUCUUCGGACCAAAGAUUUAUCGCCUUUGGAUGGGCCCGCGUUGGAUUAGCUAGUUGGUAGGGUAAAAGCCUACCAAGGCGACGAUCCAUAGCUGGUCUGAGAGGAUGAUCAGCCACACUGGGACUGAGACACGGCCCAGACUCCUACGGGAGGCAGCAGUGGGGAAUAUUGGACAAUGGGCGAAAGCCUGAUCCAGCAAUGCCGGGUGAGUGAUGAAGGCAUUAGGGUUGUAAAGCUCUUUUACCCGGGAUGAUAAUGACAGUACCGGGAGAAUAAGCUCCGGCUAACUCCGUG
rnacentral:rRNA from 1 species